rnacentral:rRNA from 1 species
UACGGGGGGGUAAGCGUUGUUCGGAAUUACUGGGCGUAAAGGGCUCGUAGGCGGCCAACUAAGUCAUACGUGAAAUCCCUCAGCUUAACUGGGGAACUGCGUGUGAUACUGGAUGGCUUGGAUUUGGGAGAGGGAUGCGGAAUUCCAGGUGUAGCGGUGAAAUGCGUAGAUAUCUGGAGGAACACCGGUGGCGAAGGCGGCAUCCUGGACCAAUAUUGACGCUGAGGAGCGAAAGCUAGGGGAGCAAACGGG